rnacentral:rRNA from 1 species
UGAUCCUGGCUCAGGACGAACGCUGGCGGCGUGCCUAACACAUGCAAGUCGAACGAGGUCCAUGCAGUGGCAACACUGCGGAAGACCUAGUGGCGAACGGGUGAGUAACACGUGAGGAACCUGCCCCGAAGACCGGGAUAACCCUCCGAAAGGAGAGCUAAUACCGGAUACCCCCACCUGGUCGCAUGGCCGGGUGAGGAAAUGGAUUCCGCUUCGGGAGGGCCUCGCGGCCUAUCAGCUAGUUGGUGAGGUAACGGCUCACCAAGGCAUCGACGGGUAGCUGGUCUGAGAGGACGAUCAGCCACACUGGGACUGAGACACGGCCCAGACUCCUACGGGAGGCAGCAGUGGGGAAUCUUGCGCAAUGGGCGAAAGCCUGACGCAACAACGCCGCGUGGGGGAUGAAGGCUCUCGGGUUGUAAACCCCGUUUCAGCAGGGACGAAAUUGACGGUACCUGCAGAAGAAGCCCGGCUAACUACGUGCCAGCAG